rnacentral:rRNA from 1 species
CUCCUACGGGAGGCAGCAGUGGGGGAUAUUGCACAAUGGGGGAAACCCUGAUGCAGCGACGCCGCGUGGAGGAAGAAGGUUUUCGGAUUGUAAACUCCUGUCGUUAGGGACGAUAAUGACGGUACCUAACAAGAAAGCACCGGCUAACUACGUGCCAGCAGCCGCGGUAAAACGUAGGGUGCAAGCGUUGUCCGGAAUUACUGGGUGUAAAGGGAGCACAGGCGGGAAGACAAGUUGGAAGUGAAAACCAUGGGCUCAACCCAUGAAUUGCUUUCAAAACUGUUUUUCUUGAGUAGUGCAGAGGUAGAUGGAAUUCCCGGUGUAGCGGUGGAAUGCGUAGAUAUCGGGAGGAACACCAGUGGCGAAGGCGGUCUACUGGGCACCAACUGACGCUGAGGCUCGAAAGCAUGGGUAGCAAACAGGAUUAGAUACCCUGGUAGUCCAUGCCGUAAACGAUGAUUACUAGGUGUUGGGGGAUUGACCCCCUCAGUGCCGCAGUUAACACAAUAAGUAAUCCACCUGGGGAGUACGACCGCAAGGUUGAAACUCAAAGGAAUUGACGGGGGCCCGCACAAGCAGUGGAGUAUGUGGUUUAAUUCGAAGCAACGCGAAGAACCUUACCAGGUCUUGACAUCCGAUGCAUAGCACAGAGAUGUGUGAAAUCCUUCGGGACAUCGAGACAGGUGGUGCAUGGUUGUCGUCAGCUCGUGUCGUGAGAUGUUGGGUUAAGUCCCGCAACGAGCGCAACCCUUAUUGCCAGUUACUACGUUAAGAGGACUCUGGCGAGACUGCCGUUGACAAAACGGAGGAAGGUGGGGAUGACGUCAAAUCAUCAUGCCCUUUAUGACCUGGGCUACACACGUACUACAAUGGCGUUAAACAAAGAGAAGCAAGACCGCGAGGUGGAGCAAAACUCAAAAACAACGUCUCAGUUCAGAUUGUAGUCUGCAACUCGACUACAUGAAGCUGGAAUCGCUAGUAAUCGCGAAUCAGAAUGUCGCGGUGAAUACGUUCCCGGGUCUUGUACACACCGC